GUGAAAUUAAUCACAUACAAACAUUACCCCUUUGUUUGACCGUGAAAAAUUUCUCCCAUCCCCUUUGUUGUCGUUAAGACAUAGUGAAACCGCGCUUAUCCCGGCGCGGUUUCUUC
rnacentral:sRNA from 17 species